CCUUCCUGUCCUGGAGAGUGUUCGUCACCCGGGAGUGCGCUGCCAUUCUGGAAGAUGAGGUGUUUGGAUGGGAUGGUAUGGUGUGUUUGCUGAACGAGCGACUUGGAUACACCAGAGCCACUGCAAGCUGCUAAGAGGUGCUGAGGCUGAACUCCCAUCGGGUGGUGAAGAGUAAAAGGCCAGCUACAAAGGGGAGGUGGGCAAUAGGCUCCAUCUCGUCUCAACCCUGGUGAAGAAACCAACGACUCUUCGCCCCAAUAGGGGGAAUUGACUCGGAUCUCGGUCACGUGGUGGCUGAGGCUCUGCUCUGUAUGCAUACUGGUGGGGGCAGGAAGGGGUAGAUAUAACAGUGAGUCUGUUCAAAAUAUCUAUGUGCAAUUGGGGUACCCGGGGGAGUCCCAGAUGAAUGUAAAGCUAUAAAUCAAAUAACAGCAUGAUGGGAAUCUAUUUUCUAUGGCCUACUAUUAACAAAAAUGUUGACUGGAUAAACUAUAUCUAUUAUAACAGAGAUUUGUCAAUUACACUCGAGAUGCGAUACAAGGGAUACACAAGCAGUUAGAUAAGACAAGUUUAAUGGCAUGGCAAAAUAGAAUGGCUUUAGACAUGUUAUUAGCUGAGAAAGGGGGUGUUUGCAAAAUGUUUGGAGAUGCCUGUUGCACGUUUAUCCCCAAUAACACAGCUCCUGAUGGCUCCAUCACCAAGGCACUGACAUCCCUCUCGCUGGAGCUGGCUGAGAACUUUGACUACUCUGAUCCGUUCUCUGACUUGAUGGGAAAGUGGUUUGGUCAAUGGAAAGACACCAGUGUAAUAAUAGCUAUAGGAUUUAUGCUUACGAUUUUAGCGUUGUUUGGUUGCUGUUUGAUACCUUGUCUUCGAGCUCUCGUUCUCAGGGCAAUAGAAUCUGCCGUGGAGAAACGAGACAUCAUGUACUCUGCACUCCCUGCAGAGGAAGAAGACUAUGCUCAGCCAACUGCACCUGCUUAUGAUGAUGAAGUGUCUUUGCAUCUCUUUGAUUCCGACUCUUUUGAUGAAUGAACUGGGCGAGGAAAAUCUACACAGAAGACCUGUCCUGGGGAUUAAAAUAUAAUAAAAGGGAGGAUUGAUAGAGAAAUGUAAUACAUUGUUAUUCUAUUUUUAAUCUGAAUGCUUACAUGUACUGAAUUAAGGAACCAACUCUUGCGAUAUGAAUGAUUGUGACACUUUGCUGAAGUGAUACAUGUUGUUUUUGCUGUCAGAAUAAUGUCCCGUGCCUGCUUAUGAAACAUGUUUUGAGGAACUAUAUGAACUAUAUACGUACACUGGCUGCGCCCAGCUCAUCUUUGGAGUUUGGAGCAUGAUAUUUGGUUUGGUGACACUUUCCCUCUUUUGCAAAAGAUAAAGCGCUGAUUG